UACGGAGGUGGCUAGCGUUGUUCGGAAUCACUGGGCUUAAAGGGCGCGCAGGCGGGCGAGUAUGUCCGGUGUGAAAUCCCCCGGCUCAACCGGGGAAGUGCGCCGGAAACUGCUCGUCUUGAGGGCAGGAGAGGAGAGUGGAACUGCUGGUGUAGCGGUGAAAUGCGUAGAUAUCAGCAGGAACGCCGGAGGCGAAAGCGACUCUCUGGACUGCUCCUGACGCUGAGGCGCGAAAGCCAGGGGAGCGAACGGGAUUAGAUACCCCCGUA
rnacentral:rRNA from 1 species